GCCAAAAGGCGCCUCUAUGUUUAACAAUUUGGCUUCUUUUUUAAAUAAAGGAUUUCAUAAUUGUCUUGAUCAGUAACUUUUUUAUCAGAAUCAUCCACUAUAGUGACUAAAUAUUUAAAUAUUAUUUUAUUAAAAUAUGAAUUAUUUACGAAUACUAGUUAUUCAAUAAUAAUUAUUAAAUAUUUAUUUACUCCCUAAUUAUUUAAUUAUUUAAUUAUUUUUACACUUCUGAUGAUUUAAUUAAUUAUUUACAAUUUUAGUAAUAUUUGGCCUGGGAAGUGUUUUGCUUUUCGUAGGCUCUAUUUGUUCACCAAGUUACAGUUCAGUUCGGCUACUUCGUCCUAGGCAGGGUUUUUAACAGUUGCUAAUACUCUUUUGAUGGCGUUCCAUCUUGUUAUUGCGGGAGUCUUGACAGUUCGAGCGAUUUCUUGCUGUUGGAUUGGAACGACGAGAGCUCGCUCGUUGCGGAAGUAACCAUCUUUCUACCCCGGCCACAUCCGUAAAUCCUCCGAACUCCACCAGAUUUAGUAAAUCCGAGGUUUACGGCAUGAAGAGCGAUUUUAGGAUAAAUCCUGCUUGAAUCUUAAACAGCCCCUACAGUCCGAAACCCUAGUUUAUGACAAAGAAGAGAGGAAAUCGACGGAAGGUUGUUGGAGAAGACCGAGUGGAGCUCGUGAUGAGUCUUGGGGAUUUAAGUAAAAUCCGUCCAAUUCAAAACGGGAGUAAAACGGGUUUCCAGAUGGAAGUUCUAUCAGUAGGUUGAUAUCUUUCAUGAAAUUGAGUUAGGACAUGUGAUGGCCUGAUCAUAUGCCAGUUAUCAAGAUUUUUACCAUGCACCCUAUUCAGUAAUGUGGUAUUGUAUCUUGUACGUGUAAGAAUUUGUGAGGCUAAUGCUGAUGAUGUCAUGGAAUGUAGCCAUCAUGUACGCUUUUGCUAUGUAAUUUCUGUUGCUCGUUGACUAUGGUCCCUGUGAUCUCCGUCGCCCGCCAACUAUGAUUAAAACUGAUCAUUGAUGUAAUCCAACUGAAAUAGGAAAAUACUUGGUCAAACUUCCUUGUGCUUGAACACCAUGUAACAGUUCCUGCAUACAUAUGGUUAAUGACUCGAGUAUAAGCAUUAUUAAGUACUUUCUUUUCUAGAACUCUCUGAGGGCACUUCUUUUGGAGCUUUAUCAUAUGCUUUUUCUUAAUCAAUAAAUAUCAAAUGCAGGCCCUCCUUAUUCUCUCUAUACUUCUCCUUGAAAACCCUCAAUAAAUGGAUAGCUUCCAUAGUAGACCUACGUGGCAUGAAUUUAAAUUGAUUUUGAGAAACAUUAGUAUCAUCAAUCAUGUUGUAUUAUGUGCUCAAUUACUCUCUCUCAUAGUUUUAAUGUAUGACACAGUGGUUGGCUCCCUCACACAAGGGGUCUCGGUGGCAUACCAUUUCAUUACUCCAAGCAGUGAAAUGCUUUAUUAUAUUUAUUUUUUUAUUUUAAUAUAAAUAUUUUUAGAAAAUAUUUUAAUUAUUUUUAGUAAUAAUUUUUUUAAUAUUCUUUUCAAAGGAGUAAUUAGAAAAAUUAAAUAAAGUAUUAUUUUUAAAACUUUGAAUUCAGGCUAAUAUAUUUUUUGAUAAAUUAUGAAAAACUCAGCCAUUGGCUGCAUAUGACUGCUGUGGGACAUCUCUGAGUUUCUUAUGCUAAUGGCAUGUCAUCUCACAAUGGGCCGGAGCUUUCCAGGAUUGCUAUCACCAGGAGGUUCAAUGCAUUGCAAUCAGUUGAAACCUUCUUCAUUCAUUUUGCGAAUAUUAUGCUUUCUGCUUUUGGGUGCUACACAAUGUUCAAUAUGGUAGACAUUACUUUCUUUGAAGUUCCAAAAACAUUCCUUACUAAGGCUGUUGUAGAUGUAUAUUUGUGCAAAUGUUGCUGUGGAACAAGCUUUCUGGGAUGUUGCACAAAGUUUUGAUAUUGUAGAUUAUCAAAUAUGAAUGAUCAUUGCUCUUUUU